rnacentral:lncRNA from 1 species
CUGAUUUUGAUUUCGGAGUAGAAUGGGAAUGGCCCAAUCUAUCUAAAACUCAAUCUCCACUCUCUUCUAUGGAUUCAAAUUUUCAUUUUAAUUCUGAUUUCGAUCAUGAACUAAAUACUUCAAGAAAUUUGGUCAUUCCGAUUUUCGUUCUAAUUUAUUUCGAUUCUAAUUCUGAUCACAAACCAAGCACCACCUAAAAUAGGAA